rnacentral:rRNA from 1 species
CCGGCGACCGGCGCACGGGUGAGUAACACGUAUGGAACCUGCCCGCAGCAGGGGGAUAAGCGGAAGAAAUUCCGUCUAAUACCGCGUAACAACGUUGGGAGGCAUCUCCCGAUGUUUAAAGAUUUAUCGGCUGCGGAUGGCCAUGCGGCGCAUUAGCUAGUCGGCGGGGUAACGGCCCACCGAGGCGACGAUGCGUAGGGGUUCUGAGAGGAAGGUCCCCCACGCUGGUACUGAGACACGGACCAGACUCCUACGGGAGGCAGCAG